rnacentral:rRNA from 1 species
UGGGGAAUAUUGGACAAUGGGGGCAACCCUGAUCCAGCAAUGCCGCGUGAGUGAUGAAGGUCUUCGGAUUGUAAAGCUCUGUCUUUUGGGACGAUAAUGACGGUACCAAAGGAGGAAGCCACGGCUAACUACGUGCCAGCAGCCGCGGUAAUACGUAGGUGGCGAGCGUUGUCCGGAUUUACUGGGCGUAAAGGGUGCGUAGGCGGAUGUUUAAGUGAGAUGUGAAAUACCCGGGCUUAACUUGGAUGCUGCAUUUCAAACUGGAUAUCUAGAGUGCAGGAGAGGAGAAUGGAAUUCCUAGUGUAGCGGUGAAAUGCGUAGAGAUUAGGAAGAACACCAGUGGCGAAGGCGAUUCUCUGGACUGUAACUGACGCUGAGGCACGAAAGCGUGGGUAGCAAACAGGAUUAGAUACCCUGGUAGUCCACGCCGUAAACGAUGAGUACUAGGUGUAGGAGGUAUCGACCCCUUCUGUGCCGCAGUAAACACAUUAAGUACUCCGCCUGGGAAGUACGAUCGCAAGAUU